rnacentral:tRNA from 1 species
GUGGGGGUAGCUCAGUUGUAGAGUGCCUGUCUAGCAUUCAGGAGGACCUGAGUUCAAUCUUCAGUGCUGUCA